rnacentral:rRNA from 1 species
UACAGAGGGCUCAAGCGUUGUUCGGAUUUAUUGGGCGUAAAGGGUGCGUAGGCGGCGCUGUAAGUCGGGUGUGAAAUUUCGGAGCUUAACUCCGAAACUGCAUUCGAUACUGCGGUGCUUGAGGACUGGAGAGGAGACUGGAAUUCAUGGUGUAGCAGUGAAAUGCGUAGAGAUCAUGAGGAAGACCAGUGGCGAAGGCGGGUCUCUGGACAGUUCCUGACGCUGAGGCACGAAGGCCAGGGGAGCAAACGGG